rnacentral:lncRNA from 10 species
UGACUUCCUUUGCUAGAAUCCUGGCACUGUUACUUAUUCCUUGUAUGUCUCUAGGGAUUCUUCACCCAUGGUUGCUUAGGUUUAUAAGCAAGGAAGCUGAAUGAAGUCCCUUUCCUCUCUGGAUGAGCCCCUGGGUUUCUGGAAGAGUCUUAAAAUCACCCCUAAAUGGCUUCCAAGCACUGAAGCCCGAGAUGUUAGCUGGCCUGUGUGAGGCCUUGAGACAGAAUGCCACAGCCACACCCCAAGGAUGCUGAAGGGGAUUUCCCUCCUCUGUGGUUUUUCUCCUUUCUUCCCGCAGCACUCCUCCUACGUGCUAACAUCUUCUAGUCAAACAACUCUCCUUUUCAAAGGGACCAGGCACAGUUUCUGCUUAUCCCUGAGUAGCAGUGUUCAGUUUCCUGCCAGCCUGUGGAGUUUUUCAAACAAGCCAAUCACCUCCUCCUGUGGGAACUGAGAAGCACCCCACCCUCUCGAUACUACAAAGCCCCUGCUUGUUCCCUAGUGCAACUCCCAUGUGGUCCUGUGGAGCAUAUGGUAUCUUCCUCUUCUGGGCAGUGAGCAUAUGUGACUAAUAAACUAUC